UGGGGAAUAUUGCACAAUGGGCGAAAGCCUGAUGCAGCGACGCCGCGUGAGGGAUGACGGCCUUCGGGUUGUAAACCUCUUUCAGCAGGGAAGAAGCGAAAAGUGACGGUACCUGCAGAAGAAGCGCCGGCUAACUACGUGCCAGCAGCCGCGGUAAUACGUAGGGCGCAAGCGUUGUCCGGAAUUAUUGGGCGUAAAGAGCUCGUAGGCGGUUAGUCGCGUCUGCUGUGAAAACUCGAGGCUCAACCUCGGGCUUGCAGUGGGUACGGGCUGACUAGAGUGCGGUAGGGGUGACUGGGAAUUCCUGGUGUAGCGGUGGAAUGCGCAGAUAUCAGGAGGAACACCGAUGGCGAAGGCAGGUCACUGGGCCGCAACUGACGCUGAGGAGCGAAAGCAUGGGGAGCGAACAGGAUUAGAUAGCCCUGGUAGUCCAUGCCGUAAACGUUGGGCACUAGGUGUGGGGUCCA
rnacentral:rRNA from 1 species